GCACGGACGCAUUUCACUGCAGCACACAACUUUCCUGGAGAGUAAAAAGAGCAGAUUUGCACAUCGUCUGGAUUUUAACUGCAUCUCACAUGUACUGCAAGUGGCAGCUGACAGGAGUCAACAGACUGGACCCUCCACAGCAGGAGACGGUGAACAACCCGGGGGUGACCUCCUGCAGACAUCUCCAGAUCAACAGCUGAUGCACCUGUCCAGCCACAAUUAAAGUUUUCCCAAGGACAGACUUUGGAGACAGGUGAAGAAAUGUCAAAGCCCCGUGGUCCACUCAGGACACAUGGACUGAGAACUCCCAGUGCACGGACACUGUUUAUUGUUACGCCUGCAGACACUUUAGCUUUCCAAACACAGUUAAGACUUUCACACAUGCAGGCUACAACAACUGGAAGAAGGCAAUGUUCACGGAUGGAGGCUUUGCUGCUCAUGUUAAAUCUGAGGUGCACAUCAGUGCCACGUCAGCUUGGAACAGUUUUGAGAAAAUUGAUCAGGACACUCCGAUGAAAUCAGUGUCACAAGAGAACACAAAUUUGGUACAAAAAACCCAUCAUUACAUUAUAUGUGUUGUUGAAGUGUUAUUGUUAACUGUCACUCAGACUGAAAGUGACGCUAACCGAGGAAACUUUUUAGCCAUUUUAGAACUCCUUGCACAGCAUGACAUGGUUGUUGAGGAAAAAAUUUAAUGGGCUGCGUGAUGCCAAAUAUACUUCACAUCACAUCCAAAAUGAAGUUUUAGACGUGUUAGCUGAAAUGGCGCGCUCCACCAUUAUACAGUGAGGAAAAUAAGUAU